rfam:Marmoricola sp. Leaf446 contig_1, whole genome shotgun sequence.
GCUGGUCCGGUUCACGUCCCCCGCUGGGGGGCGACCCGGCGCC